GCGGUUAUCAAUAAAAAUCCAAAAUGGCGUCCGGCGGAGCAGGAGCAAAUCAAGAAAGACUCCUCAAAGAAGCUGCAAAACAAAUCCAAAGAGCGAGAAGACCAAUCAAUUACAAAAGAAAAAACUUUUUUGUUUUUGCUGGACUCCUGACGUCAGUCUGUGGUAUAUAUUUUUACUCCAUGUAUUCAACACAACAAGAGAAAAUAGACUUUGAGAAGUAGCAAGAACGCAAAAAGCGAGAUCCAAGAAACACAAUACCCUCACAGCAAGACAAAGACCUUACUUUGUUAUGAAGGAGAAAAAUCUAAAAAGAACAUCAACUAAAAGGAAAUCAAACGUUUAUUGUACAUAGAUGUUCAGUGUGAAAUUACAAUUUUCCAUGCACUUAAUAAAUCCUAUAAAGUAAAUCAC